rnacentral:rRNA from 1 species
GACGAACGCUGGCGGCGUGCUUAACACAUGCAAGUCGAACGGAAAGGCCCUGCUUUUGUGGGGUGCUCGAGUGGCGAACGGGUGAGUAACACGUGAGUAACCUGCCCUUGACUUUGGGAUAACUUCAGGAAACUGGGGCUAAUACCGGAUAGGAGCUCCUGCUGCAUGGUGGGGGUUGGAAAGUUUCGGCGGUUGGGGAUGGACUCGCGGCUUAUCAGCUUGUUGGUGGGGUAGUGGCUUACCAAGGCUUUGACGGGUAGCCGGCCUGAGAGGGUGACCGGCCACGUUGGGACUGAGAUACGGCCCAGACUCCUACGGGAGGCAGCAGUGGGGAAUGGUGCACAAUGGGCGGAAGCCUGGUGCAGCAACGCCGCGUGCGGGAUGACGGCCUUCGGGUUGUAAACCGCUUUCGCCUGUGACGAAGCGUGAGUGACAGCAAUGGGUAAAGAAGCACCGGCUAACUACGUG